UACGUAGGGGGCAAGCGUUGUCCGGAUUUAUUGGGCGUAAAGAGCGUGUAGGCGGCCAGGUAGGUCAGCUGUGAAAACUCGAGGCUCAACCUCGAGACGUCGGUUGAAACCACUUGGCUAGAGUCCGGAAGAGGAGAGUGGAAUUCCUGGUGUAGCGGUGAAAUGCGCAGAUAUCAGGAAGAACACCCGUGGCGAAGGCGGCUCUCUGGGACGGUACUGACGCUGAGACACGAAAGCGUGGGUAGCAAACAGG
rnacentral:rRNA from 1 species